AUGUGGCGGGCUGUCAGGUCCGGCUUCGGGGACGACGUCCUGCUCCGCGACGCCGGCGGCCGCUACCUCCGCGCCAACGGCAAGUACCGCCCCUGGAACACCGGCGUCACCGUCGAGGCCAGCGACAACGUCAGCGCCAUGAUGUACUGGACCGUCGAGCCCAUCCCCGCCAGAGACGGCACGCCUGGCCUUCCAGGCCCGAUUCAGAGCCCCCCUCCGACGAUUUUCUGGCGCGAGCCGGUGAUGUGGCGGCAGAUCCGGUACAUGGUGUCGGAGCCCGACGGCCCCAUCUACACCGAGUACUGCUGGUCCACGUUCCAGUUCAGGGGGAGGUCCGUGUUCCACCUGAGGAACGAGGUGGCCAGGCACACCCGCUUCGUCCUGGAAGGCCGUCAACCCUUCGACCUCGUAAUGUGCGUCCAAGCGGGCCGCCACGGGCGUCUGACCCCGCUCUUCGUCGACCUGCCCCGCGGCGACCUCUUACCGACCUUCUGGAUCGUCGUGUUCCUGUCCGGGACCCCAGUUUGCUGA
rnacentral:rRNA from 1 species